GAAAUCAUAGUUUGAGACAUUAUUUAAAUUCUAACACGCUAUCAAGGAUUUUUAUGUACACCCUUGCCGCUAUUCGCCAAAGGUUUUCCCGCUCUGUGUGGUUUUCAUUUGCUAAGCGCCGCUGUUACGUUUGACACUUCGACGUAAUGAUUGUGACGUACAAAUUGUAAUUUUGUUAUAUGUGACGUCGUCUUUGAAAACCGGUCCAGAUGCUGCAUGACGUAAUAUCGAGAAACGACGUUUAAAGUUGCGCCAAGUUUACGCGCGCAGCUUUCUUACACAUGUUUUAAUUAGCAAAAGUUUGACCGUUAAAGUACGACUGCUUGUUACAUGAUUGGAAACAGCCUACUACAGAAAGAAUAUUUAGACAUCAGACCUGUAAAAAAGUAGUGGUAUUACGCCUGAGGCAAAAUAUUUCGUUCAAAAGCAGUUGUUUCCCCUUCGCUAUGUUUCCGGUUUCGGAUUUUAUCAGGGAAGCAUGUGAAGUUUACUUUUGUUUAACUACCUUUUGUUCAACGAUGAACGGAUCUGAGACUUGUUAUACUGUUUACUGAUUAGAUAAUAUUCCUUGUUCCUUUGAUGGUUCAUUCCACUAUACAACUGGUUCAUAUACCCUACAACAGCCAGGAAAUUGGUCUGUUUACUUUAAGAUCCCAAGAAAAUGUAACAUAUUUUGGAUGUGCUUUGAGGAAUCAGUUAAGUAACAUGCAGCUAAUGGCUCUUAUCAAAAUUUUAAUGCAAUAUAUUAUUUAUUUAUACCUCUGUCUAGGUUUUGUUGGAGCCAAUUCAAAAUAAGUCUACUUCUACACUAAUGAUUUGUACAAUGUAUGUACAUGUACUAUGACUAUUAAAUGGCUUAAACUGACAAAACUGGCAUUAUUGAAAUUUAAUUUCAACAAUCUGGUUUUGAGGCGGCAAAAGGGAGGAUCAGUUUGUGUAAAGUCUUCAUUACAUUGGCUAUUAGCCUGAGAAAAGUAUGUGGCACUCAAUAAGUACUUGGAUAAUUUGAAUGCUUAACACAACAUGUACAUGUGUAUAAGUUGAUAUCUCAUUAACUUGUAGAAUAUAGUUCUAAAUAAUAGGAAUUUUAAUUAAGUAUUCGAAGUAAAUCAAUUAAUUGUAAUUUAGUUUAAUUGAAAUGUGAUUAUUUUCAAAUUUAAUUAAUCCAUUCUCGACUAAUACAUUGUGAUGUGAUUGAAUUUUUUUACCAGUUUUAUUGCACCAAGAAUAUAGAUUAGAAUGAAGACUGUAAAGGUUCCUGAGAUACCUGAAGAUAACAGAUACUUUUACCAAAGACUUUUAAAUCUUUUUUCAGGAAGGCAAGUGUUUCCUCUUGUUUAUGAAGCAACUCAGUUGGUUAAGGGGCAGACAACUUGUGAGCAUGGUACAUCACUACCUGUAUUGAUAUUCCAAUGCUGCUAGCUAGAAUAGAAAUAACAUCUUGCUGUGGUACGGUCUGUGGAGACUUUUACUAGGAUAUCACAGAUCGAUUGAAUAUUCAACAAUGAUCACAGACCAUGCAAAGUUUGAAUCUGACUUGCACUUUUGAAUUUAGAAGAACAUGUGGAGGAGGGUGAAUGCUGAGACCUUUAAUAAUACAUGAUAUUGCUGACACAGUGUGUCAGUCAUCAAAGAAAGGUCAUAACACUGCACAGUUGGUCAACAGUGGUUUAAAUCCAGUCACAUUCUGCCAGUGGAGAAAUAUCUUAUCACAAUAUUUUAAACUUUUGAAGAAGAUAACCAAGUAUUACCACUUUAUCAUGUCUGCAGAAACACCUGGAUUGUUAGUGUUAAAAGUGACAGUCCAGUUAACUUACUAAAAUCUACUCCCCCUUGCCAAAUGAAUAUUAUUGACAUGGAAUGAUACAAGCCUGACAAUGGUACCUGUAUGAACUCAUAAGAGAAUAGUAUUUGUCUGAAAAGUCAAAGGAUUCUGUUUGUCCCAAACCACU